rnacentral:lncRNA from 1 species
AGCUCUCAAACAAUUAGCAAAAUACUUUAAUUGUAGCUUAGGUAAGUUCAUUAAAUAUAAGGCUUCAAAUGGAAGGGAAGUGACAAUGCUAGCCACAUCUAUACUGCCAAACUAAGAACAGGGAAAGAGCCUGAGCCCUGAUCACCCAUAAUGCUUAACAGUUGUCUCACUCCCUGGGUUUCUUUUGAAUAGCUCUAAUGAUCUCUAUCCUGGACAAAUCUCCUAUGGAAAGGGCUAAGUUUAAACAGUGUGGACUGAGGCCAGUCAAUGCCGCUAGACUUUUAUGGUAAGGAUCAGUUUGGGCUUUUUUUCUCUUCAUUAACAUUGACAGCCACUGUGAUCUCUCACUUGUUCUGUACGUGAGAGCUAAAUUCCCUUUGAACUUAGUCUUUUUUUUUUUUUUUUUUUUUUUUUUUUUUUAAGCUGAAGACAAACAAAAGCAAAUUUCCAAUAAGUAGUUCCAGUUUUCAAGCAUACCUCCCAAAAUUGGUUCGGACCAGUAUUUCAGACUCAUCAUAAAUGUACAUAUAUAUAUAUAUAUUUAUUGCAGUUCAGUUGUCAAACUUAAAAAAUAUUUUUUUUUAAAAGCGCACUAGUUUACAGUCCUUUUCUUCAAAGAGUUUUCCUUCAAAAACAUGUGACAGCCUGUUAGUGGCACAGUACAGCCUGUACCUUCAAAUCAACAAAUUACUUAUUCUCUCCUUAAAGCAGUUAAAGUGAAGUGCAAAGUCAGUAGUGACCCAACAAUGCAGUGGUUUGCUUACAAAUGUGCUGCUCUGGGCCUCUCCAAGCUCACCUCUAAGUGGAAGUAGCUUGUAGGGACAUGGUAUAAUGCCCAGCAAGGCCCUGAGCUGGCUUUACUCUUUGAUAUAGACAGCUAUUUGCAUUUCUAGGCUGCCUGUUUGUGAUUAUCUGAUAAACCCUUUGAAGUUAACUCUGGCAUCUCUGCAUCUGACUGAAGCCACCGCUACCAUCUCGUUGUCCUGUGCUUCUGCCAUCUCAGCUGGGCAGCCCCUCUUGUCCCACCUCAGACAUCUCCCUUUUAAAACCGAACACGGAGAGUCGGUCCCGUGCUCAGAGCUGGAAAGAGGGCUCAGAUCUGCCCGCGGGAGGAUGUCUUUUGCUGAGGGAUGGACCAGGUGGUAUCUCAGCCACAGCCACAGCCCCGCUUGGCUGCUCUCUGGCAUGUGGCAAGAAGCAGCUUGCUGUCCUCCAGGUUUCAAGAUAAAUGCAAGAAAUGGGAAUGAAGAGAGCUGGAGACUGGUGGCAUGGUAGUAGGGGGAAUAAAAGCUCAAGCUUGCAGUGCA